GCCAUGCGAAGCGAACGCGGUGAACUGAAACAUCUAAGUAACCGCAGGAAAAGAAAUCAACCGAGAUUCCCAAAGUAGUGGCGAGCGAAAUGGGAUGAGCCUUGCACUCUUUAUUUGUAUUGUUAGCCGAACGCUCUGGAAAGUGCGGCCAUAGCAGGUGAUAGCCCUGUAGGCGAAAACAGUAUGAAAGAACUAGGUGUGCGACAAGUAGGGCGGGACACGUGAAAUCCUGUCUGAAGAUGGGGGGACCAUCCUCCAAGGCUAAAUACUCGUGAUCGACCGAUAGUGAACCAGUACCGUGAGGGAAAGGCGAAAAGAACCCCGGGAGGGGAGUGAAAUAGAUCCUGAAACCGCAUGCAUACAAACAGUCGGAGCCUCGUAAGGGGUGACGGCGUACCUUUUGUAUAAUGGGUCAGCGACUUACGUUCAGUAGCAAGCUUAACCGUAUAGGGCAGGCGUAGCGAAAGCGAGUCCGAAUAGGGCGUUCAGUUGCUGGGCGUAGACCCGAAACCAGGUGAUCUAUCCAUGGCCAGGAUGAAGGUGCGGUAACACGUACUGGAGGUCCGAACCCACUAACGUUGAAAAGUUAGGGGAUGAGCUGUGGAUAGGGGUGAAAGGCUAAACAAACCUGGAAAUAGCUGGUUCUCUCCGAAAACUAUUUAGGUAGUGCCUCGUGUCUCACCUUCGGGGGUAGAGCACUGUCAUGGUUGGGGGGUCUAUUGCAGAUUACCCCGCCAUAGCAAACUCCGAAUACCGAAGAGUGCAAUCACGGGAGACAGACAUCGGGUGCUAACGUCCGGUGUCAAGAGGGAAACAACCCAGACCGCCAGCUAAG
rnacentral:rRNA from 1 species